rnacentral:rRNA from 1 species
AGUGAACGCUGGCGGUAGGCCUAACACAUGCAAGUCGAACGGCAGCACAGUAAGUGCUUGCUCUUACGGGUGGCGAGUGGCGGACGGGUGAGGAAUACAUCGGAAUCUACUUUUUCGUGGGGGCUAACGUAGGGAAACUUACGCUAAUACCGCAUACGACCUACGGGUGAAAGCAGGGGAUCUUCGGCCCUUGCGCGAUUGCAUGAGCCGAUGGCGGAUUAGCUAGUUGGAGGGGUAAAGGCCCACCAAGGCGACGAUCCGUAGCUGGUCUGAGAGGACGGUCAGCCACACGGGAACUGAGACACGGACCAGACGCCUACGGGAGGCAGCAGUGGGGAAUGUUGGACAAUGGGCGAAAGCCUGAUCCAGCAAUGCCGCGUGUGGGAAGAAGGCCUUCGGGUUGUAAAGCACUUUUGUCCGGAAAGAAAGAAAGGGCUCUAAUACGGUCGGGGGAUGACGGUACCGAAAGAAUAAGCACCGGCUAACUACGUG